CAAACAUCACACCCGUCUCAAAAUACAAAGGUUGAAGUACAAGAUUAAGUAUUCUACAAGUAACUGGAGUAAAAGUAUUGCCAUGAGAAAAUUGUCAAACUUAAAGAUUAACCAUGAAAAUCUAAAGCAUCAAGUGCAAGCAAAUGGGUGGCAAGUAUGACUU